rnacentral:rRNA from 1 species
UACGGAGGAUGCGAGCGUUAUCCGGAUUUACUGGGUGUAAAGGGAGCGUAGACGGCUGUGCAAGUCUGAAGCGAAAGCCCGUGGCUCAACCGCGGAACUGCUUUGGAAACUGUAUAGCUUGAGUACUGGAGAGGCAGGCGGAAUUCCUAGUGUAGCGGUGAAAUGCGUAGAUAUUAGGAGGAACACCAGUGGCGAAGGCGGCCUGCUGGACAGAAACUGACGUUGAGGCUCGAAAGCGUGGGGAGCAAACAGG